rnacentral:rRNA from 1 species
AUUGAACGCUGGCGGCAUGCUUUACACAUGCAAGUCGAACGGUAACAGGCCGCAAGGUGCUGACGAGUGGCGAACGGGUGAGUAAUGCAUCGGAACGUGCCCAGUCGUGGGGGAUAACUACUCGAAAGAGUAGCUAAUACCGCAUACGAUCUAUGGAUGAAAGCGGGGGACCGUAAGGCCUCGCGCGAUUGGUGCGGCCGAUGUCAGAUUAGGUAGUUGGUGGGGUAAAGGCUCACCAAGCCAACGAUCUGUAGCUGGUCUGAGAGGACGACCAGCCACACUGGGACUGAGACACGGCCCAGACUCCUACGGGAGGCAGCAGUGGGGAAUUUUGGACAAUGGGCGCAAGCCUGAUCCAGCAAUGCCGCGUGCAGGAAGAAGGCCUUCGGGUUGUAAACUGCUUUUGUACGGAACGAAACGGCUCUGGUUAAUACCCGGGGCUAAUGACGGUACCGUAAGAAUAAGCACCGGCUAACUACGUG